GCCGAUCCGCCGCCAUCCGCCCGAGGAUGGGGGCACGGCCCAUCAGGUAGUUGGCGGGUUAAAGGCCCGCCAAGCCGAAGACGGGUAGGGGCGGUGAGAGCCGCGAGCCCCGAGAUCGGCACUGAGACAAGGGCCGAGGCCCUACGGGGUGCAGCAGGCGCGAAUACUCCGCAAUGCGGGCAACCGCGACGGGGCUACCCCGAGUGCCGGGCGAAGAGCCCGGCUUUUGCCCGGUCUAAAAAGCCGGGAGAAUAAGCGGGGGGCAAGUCUGGUGUCAGCCGCCGCGGUAAUACCAGCUCCGCGAGUGGUCGGGGUGUUUACUGGGCUUAAAGCGCCCGUAGCCGGCCCGGCAAGUCGCUCCUGAAAUCCCCGGGCUCAACCCGGGGGCGGGGGGCGAUACUGCCGGGCUAGGGGGCGGGAGAGGCCGCCGGUACUCCGGGGGUAGGGGCGAAAUCCGUUAAUCCCCGGAGGACCACCAGUGGCGAAAGCGGGCGGCCAGAACGCGCCCGACGGUGAGGGGCGAAAGCCGGGGGAGCAAAGGGGAUUAGAUACCCCUGUAGUCCCGGCCGUAAACGAUGCGGGCUAGCUGUCGGCCGGGCUUAGGGCCCGGCCGGUGGCGAAGGGAAACCGUUAAGCCCGCCGCCUGGGGAGUACGGCCGCAAGGCUGAAACUUAAAGGAAUUGGCGGGGGGGCACCACAAGGGGUGAAGCUUGCGGCUUAAUUGGAUUCAACGCCGGA
rnacentral:rRNA from 1 species